UACGUUACUGGGCUUAAGGACUUGGUCAGACUUCAGGCCCGACGCAAAGAGAAGUGCCGCAAAGAGAAGAUGUCUCCCUUCUCCUGCGACGGCGACCCUAAAACUUUUCUGAUUCUUCCACCAUCUGAAACGUUUUACGUAAAAGCUUCGAGAUUAAUCACAUUGAUUCGCUCUCCCACUACGUCGUCUUCAAUGCUACGUUUCGAUAUGAUAUGCGGCGAUCUCCGUAUAAAUAUGGUUUUUUCUCCGAUCUGGGUCGAUAUGCUGAUGGUGGAUGUGAAUUCGGCCAUGAUGCAAGCGACCAUGAUAUAUCUCUAAUCAUUACUUUUUGCUAUCUCCACAUCUCUCUGCUACUCAUCUCUCUGCUAUCUCCACAACUUUCCUAAAGCUUUAGAGAGAUCUCAAAAUCUCGACAGCCAUGGCAACCACCAAAUUCCAGAGGAUUAUGAUCCAGCCAAUGCUCCAUAACUUGAGUUUUAGGGGUUUUCAAAGUAAACUUCGAAUCCAUAUUUGGCUAUUUGAGCGGAAAGAUCUGAAGACUGAAAAAAUAAUUAAUUGUUCAGGAAUUCAUGGCGUUCUUUGUGCGGUUGAAUUCAUGGAUUACAAACACUACUGAGUAAUUUCAUCAACACACUACUGAGGAAUUCAUGGUGUUCUUUGUUCAGAAAGUUUCUUCACAUUUUAUUUUUCUUGCAUAUUCAAUUCAUGUCCACUGGCCACUAGACUAACUUAAGGUUAUGUUCUUGAUUCAUCUGUCCCCUUCACAUUAUGUAUCUGAGGUUGAUCAAAAUUACAUGUUUAUGGUGACAGUGCCUAGGUCUUGAUGCCCGCAUUACAUAGAUGGUGCUUAUGAUACUUUUCAGCUGGCCACACUAAGCUAUAUGUUAAUUUAGUGCAGACAUAUUAAUCAUUAUGUUUUUCAUUUUUCCUAUUUGUUGUCGAUAGAAUUUGAGCGCUAAUAUGUAUUUGACUAUAUAGAUCUUCAAAACUUUAUUUUCGAAAUGAGAAGAGAGUUUAUUUUUAA